rnacentral:rRNA from 1 species
GACGAACGCUGGCGGCGUGCUUAACACAUGCAAGUCGAACGGUAAGGCCCUUCGGGGUACACGAGUGGCGAACGGGUGAGUAACACGUGGGUGAUCUGCCCUGCACUUCGGGAUAAGCCUGGGAAACUGGGUCUAAUACCGGAUAGGACCACUGCCUGCAUGGGUGGUGGUGGAAAGCUUUUGCGGUGUGGGAUGGGCCGGCGGCCUAUCAGCUUGUUGGUGGGGUGAUGGCCUACCAAGGCGACGACGGGUAGCCGGCCUGGGAGGCUGACGGGCCACACUGGGACUGAGAUACGGCCCAGACUCCUACGGGAGGCAGCAGUGGGGAAUAUUGCACAAUGGGCGCAAGCCUGAUGCAGCGACGCCGCGUGAGGGAUGACGGCCUUCGGGUUGUAAACCUCUUUCAGCACCGACGAAGCGCAAGUGACGGUAGGUGCAGAAGAAGGACCGGCCAACUACGUGCCAGCAGCCGCCGUAACAC